rnacentral:rRNA from 1 species
UACGUAGGGUGCGAGCGUUGCCCGGAUUUAUUGGGCGUAAAGGGCGCGUAGGCGGCCACGCACGUCCGUUGUGAAAUCGCCCGGCUCAACUGGGCGGGGUCAGCGGAUACGGUGUGGCUCGAGCAAGCUAGGGGGCAAUGGAAUUCCCGGUGUAGUGGUGGAAUGCGUAGAUAUCGGGAGGAACACCAGUGGCGAAGGCGGCUUCCUGGCCUGUUCUUGACGCUGAGGCGCGAAAGCUAGGGGAGCAAACGGG